AGCGAACGCUGGCGGCAGGCCUAACACAUGCAAGUCGAGCGCCCAGCAAUGGGAGCGGCAGACGGGAUAGUAACACGUGGGAACGUACCCUUCAGUUCGGAACAACCCAGGGAAACUUGGGCUAAUACCGAAUACGUCCGUAAGGAGAAAGAUUUAUCGCUGAAGGAUCGGCCCGCGUCUGAUUAGCUAGUUGGUGAGGUAACGGCUCACCAAGGCGACGAUCAGUAGCUGGUCNGAGAGGAUGAUCAGCAUCAC
rnacentral:rRNA from 1 species